AGUGAACGCUGGCGGUAGGCCUAACACAUGCAAGUCGAACGGCAGCACAGUAAGAGCUUGCUCUUACGGGUGGCGAGUGGCGGACGGGUGAGGAAUACAUCGGAAUCUACUUUUUCGUGGGGGAUAACGUAGGGAAACUUACGCUAAUACCGCAUACGACCUACGGGUGAAAGCAGGGGAUCUUCGGACCUUGCGCGAUUGAAUGAGCCGAUGUCGGAUUAGCUAGUUGGCGGGGUAAAGGCCCACCAAGGCGACGAUCCGUAGCUGGUCUGAGAGGAUGAUCAGCCACACUGGAACUGAGACACGGUCCAGCCUCCUACGGGAGGCAGCAGUGGGGACUAUUGGACAAUGGGCGCAAGCCUGAUCCAGCCAUACCGCGUGGGUGAAGAAGGCCUUCGGGUUGUAAAGCCCUUUUGUUGGGAAAGAAAAGCAGCAGGUUAAUACCCCGCUGUUCUGACGGUACCCAAAGAAUAAGCACCGGCUAACUUCGU
rnacentral:rRNA from 1 species